rnacentral:rRNA from 1 species
AACGUAGGACGCAAGCGUUAUCCGGAGUGACUGGGCGUAAAGGGCGUGCAGGCGGCCUCUCAAGUGGCUCGUGAAAGACCCCGGCUCAACCGGGGGGGGUCGGGUCAGACUGAGCGGCUGGAGGCAGUCAGAGGGACACGGAAUUCCGGGUGUAGUGGUGAAAUGCGUAGAGAUCCGGAGGAACACCAGUGGCGCAGGCGGUGUCCUGGGGCUGAACUGACGCUGAGACGCGAAAGCAUGGGGAGCGAACGGG